rnacentral:rRNA from 1 species
GACGAACGCUGGCGGCGUGCUUAACACAUGCCAGUCGAACGGAAAGGCCCCUUUGGGGGUACUCGAGUGGCGAACGGGUGAGUAACACGUGAGUAACCUGCCCUUGACUUCGGGAUAACUUCAGGAAACUGGGGCUAAUACCGGAUAGGAAUCCUUGCUGCAUGGUGGGGGUUGGAAAGCUUCGGCGGUUUUGGAUGGACUCGCGGCUUAUCAGCUUGUUGGUGGGGUAGUGGCUUACCAAGGCUUUGACGGGUAGCCGGCCUGAGAGGGCGACCGGCCACAUUGGGACUGAGAUACGGCCCAGACUCCUACGGGAGGCAGCAGUGGGGAAUAUUGAACAAUGGGCGGAAGCCUGAUGCAGCAACGCCGCGUGCGGGAUGACGGACUUCGGGUUGUAAACCGCUUUCAGCAGGGGCGAAGCUUGUGGUGACGGUACCUGCAGAAGAAGCACCGGCUAACUACGUG